GAGAGUAUAGCUCAGAGGUAGAGCACAUGCUUAGCAUGCAUAAGGUUCUGGGUUCAAUCCCCAGUAUCUCCA
rnacentral:tRNA from 1 species